GCGUGAGGUGUAGGGUCUAAGGUUUCAACUUUAGAUUUUGUGAGAAGAAAAAUAUAAGAGUGAGUCUUGUUCCAUCUCCCACAUCACCACCUCUUUGUAAAGCUUCAUCUUUUGAUCUAGAGGAGUCCAGGAGAUUCGAAGAAAGGAGCUUGGAUCAGCCAUCUAGAGCCUUCGAUGCGAGCUAGCACUUCCACGAAAGAAGAUCCGAUCAGGACUUCAAAUGGAUGAUCUGUAGAGGUCGGACGAUCUGUGUGGCUACU
rnacentral:lncRNA from 1 species